rfam:Zea mays cultivar B73 chromosome 8, whole genome shotgun sequence.
AAGCUCGAAGAUGAGGAACUCAUCUCCUACAUCUUGACCGGGCUAGAUCGGGAGUAUGAUCCAGUGGUGACAGCGAUGGCGGCGAGAGUUGAGCCGAUCACCGUGAACGAGCUCUAUGCGCAGCUUGUCUCAUUUGAGC